UUUGAGUUUGAGCACAACUAUUUGAGCAAGCGUUCAACCUGUCUCAAGUUGUAAAGCAGUACUCAAACAUGGCCGCUUUUGAUGAACGCAUUCAACGUUUACGAGGAUAUUAGCCGAUUUAACGCGUUUUUGAGGUAAGCAGCAACCCUUAAGAAAAAGUAAGCGAUAUAUAUCGAUUUCACCCGGAAAAUAUUUAUAUAUUUCAUUGUUGGAUGCUGAUUUAUAAAUUGGACACACCGAGUCGUCGUUCAUUGCCGAUGCAAUAUUUGCUGUCAGUUUUGAUAGUAAAUAGGGCAAAGAAACCUUUGUUUGACACCUUUAUCAUUGCUAAAUUUCAUUGAUUUUCAAAGGCAAAUACGUAGAAUUUAACCCCAAAACGUAUAGAGUAGUUCCCCUUUGUUGACAUAGCAUUUGACAACACGUGCCUUGGUUUUAGCAUAACAUUUUAACGAUGAAUGUUUUAAUACUGUAUAAAUGAAAUCUUACGAUAAUAAGUAAGUUUAAUCUAAAAUUCUGGUGUUUCUUAAUACAUUAUUUAUGUUUACUCAAUCUUUUGUUGCCAGCGUGUAUUUAUCGAUGUAAAUAAAUGAAGACUGAUAUACCCAACCCGCUUAUGACUGUUGAGCAUAUAAUACUUCAGGUUACAGUAUACUAAAUACUUUUGGUGUUCAAUGCUAUACCCUCUAAAAACAAAAUCGCCAUUUAUUUGAAGACACAAUUCUCUUUAUGGGCACUUGCCAUGACUUAAUUAUUGAACAUGUCUGUGUGCAUGUGGUAAGGAAAACAUUGCUGCAUACUAAUUACUAGAAAUUCACUGUUUUGCUUUAGGUUGGAGACAGUAUAGUACCAGAAAGGCCGUUUACCAAAAGGCGUUGGCGGGAAAUCAUCAUCAACUGGAGAUAUAAAACCGAUUAUCACCCUCAUACAUUUAAUUUUGAUGAAGAAAUUGUUCAGCAUGUUGGAAGAAAUUUCACGCAGAAUCGACUUGAAGAGCACGACGAUUCGAGACGCACUUAUGAAGGACUCAGUUUAAAACCGAUACAAAUGUUUCAUGAAGAAAUCAUAUAUAGACGGGAAAUUGUUGGAGACAGUAUAGUACCAGAAAGGCCGUUUACCAAAAGGCGUUGGCGGAAAACCAUCAUCAACUGGAGAUAUAAAACCGAUUUCCACAAGAACCAGCUUUUAUGCAUUUGAAAUGUAGUUGGAGCAGUAGACGGGACUGUAAUUCUAAUUAUAAAACCAGCUGAAUCUGAAGAAGCUGAUGUGUGCAGGAAAGGGUUUAUUAACAUUACUGAGCGGCUGUCAUUGAUGCCAACAUGAGAUGCCUGCAUUGCACUGGUGGAUGCCUGACUUUCCAAGCCAAAUGAGUGCUGUAGAACAGCAAAAAUUUGCAUUCGCCUGCUCAACCUGUGCUUGGAAUUAUUCAUUCCGCUGAUAGAGAUAGAAGUUUUGGACAUGAUGGAUCCAGCGGUUACAAACAACGCACCAGUAAAGAGAGCAGUAGUCAAUAAGAGGCAUCAGCUGAUCGAACUGUUCAGUUGAAAAUGUCGUCAAGUGAUUGCUAUAUAUAGGAUCUGGCACGAGUUGCCAUAUCAUACCAUAUUUUAUUAAACUCGUCCAGGAAUUGUGUUAGUAAGCUUGCCUUUUAUGAAAUGCCAACAAGUGUCAUAUCUUUUUUAUCACAUGUGUUUAAAUGAGCAAAUAAAUAUUUACGCAAACAUAAUGAUAAAUCCCGAAUGUUGUUUACAUUUCGUGACGUCAUUUGAUGUUGCAACGGCAUUUCAGCAAAAUAACAAAAUGCGAUUGGUCAAUCAAACGAAAUCUAAGCCGAUGAAAACGCUAAAAAAGUAUAUAACACAUGUGUAAGAUAAAAAUAU